ensembl:rRNA 5S_rRNA 5S ribosomal RNA
GCUAGCAGCCAUAUCACCCUGCAACUCACAACUGGGAACCCACUGAAGCUAAGCAGGUGUGAGCCUGGUCAGUACCUGGAUGGGAGACCUCCUGGGAAAAACUAAGGUUGCUGCUGGAA